rnacentral:rRNA from 1 species
UACGUAGGCAGCAAGCGUUGUUCGGAAUCACUGGGCGUAAAGCGCACGUAGGCGGCUUCUUAAGUCAGGGGUGAAAUCCUGGAGCUCAACUCCAGAACUGCCUUUGAUACUGAGAAGCUUGAGUCCGGGAGAGGUGAGUGGAACUGCGAGUGUAGAGGUGAAAUUCGUAGAUAUUCGCAAGAACACCAGUGGCGAAGGCGGCUCACUGGCCCGAUACUGACGCUGAGGCACGAAAGCGUGGGGAGCAAACAGG